CUUCCCUACCCGCUGGGGAGUCCAUUUCCACAAGAAUAUGAGACGGGGAGCUUGGGGACACCCUCUCUGCGACUGAGGAACUCAAGUUUGCCAUGCGAGAAGCCACUGGGCCAAGGCUGGCAGUGAUUUCGGGGGAGACAGCACAUCACUUUCAGGGUUGGCCUCUAAGAGCCGGCAGAGCCGUGACAGGAUUUUCAAUCUGGACACACCCGCUCCUCUCUGGGUUUGGGCUCAGAUUCCACGGCCAAAUCUGUGCCAAGUCUCCUGUGUUCAGACUCGGUAGGCGGUGGAUGGAAGGCGUGGAGACCCCUCCUGAGAGCGACAGCGUGGGCCAGCGCCACCGGCUAGGGCCAGCCAGCCAGGGAGCAGCCCGCCCCGUCAUGCCGAGGGAAGCCAGGCCUCCUCAGUGAGGGUUUUGUCUUCAGCAGGAAAACAGGAAAGGAGGCCAUGGAGCCACCGUGCAAACUGCGGUCUCUGUGCUCCCCAGACCCCAUCGCCUCUGUGGCCCUGAGCACCGCGCUCGGUGCUCUGGGCAGCAGAGCUCAGAUAAAAUGCAAAUGAAGAAAAUCCGAUUCAAACGAAUUUAGGAGAAAGAGUAAGUUACUGGCUCUUGUAAGGGAAAACAGAGAUGGAGUUGGCUUCAGGGACGGCUGGAUUCAGGAUUCAGAUGCCCCAGCCUCCCCUCUCCCCGCUCCUCUCUGCUUCCCUCUAUAUCUGGACUCUGUUCUCUCCACAUGCAGAGUGGGUCCCUAGCUCCACUAGAAAAUCCUGGAAAUGAACCUUGGCCACCUAAGGUCAGGUGGCCAAGCCAGUUGCUUGGUCACCUGACCAGUUGCUGCAACCGUGGAGAUGAUUGCAUGAGAAGAUGCCUCAUGACAGAGAAGGGAAGAACUUCCUCAAGAGAAGAAAGUGCUGGGCAGACAGAGCAACAAUUGUUUCUUAUUAAUCAUGUCUCUUUACUCUG